rnacentral:rRNA from 1 species
GUCGAGCGAACAGACGAGGAGCUUGCUCCUCUGACGUUAGCGGCGGACGGGUGAGUAACACGUGGAUAACCUACCUAUAAGACUGGGAUAACUUCGGGAAACCGGAGCUAAUACCGGAUAAUAUAUUGAACCGCAUGGUUCAAUAGUGAAAGACGGUUUUGCUGUCACUUAUAGAUGGAUCCGCGCCGCAUUAGCUAGUUGGUAAGGUAACAGCUUACCAAGGCAACGAUGCGCAGCCGACCUGAGAGGGUGAUCGGCCACACUGGAACUGAGACACGGUCCAGACUCCUACGGGAGGCAGCAGUAGGGAAUCUUCCGCAAUGGGCGAAAGCCUGACGGAGCAACGCCGCGUGAGUGAUGAAGGUCUUCGGAUCGUAAAACUCUGUUAUUAGGGAAGAACAAAUGUGUAAGUAACUAUGCACGUCUUGACGGUACCUAAUCAGAAAGCCACGGCUAACUACGUGCCAGCAGCCGCGGUAAUACGUAGGUGGCAAGCGUUAUCCGGAAUUAUUGGGCGUAAAGCGCGCGUAGGCGGUUUUUUAAGUCUGAUGUGAAAGCCCACGGCUCAACCGUGGAGGGUCAUUGGAAACUGGAAAACUUGAGUGCAGAAGAGGAAAGUGGAAUUCCAUGUGUAGCGGUGAAAUGCGCAGAGAUAUGGAGGAACACCAGUGGCGAAGGCGACUUUCUGGUCUGUAACUGACGCUGAUGUGCGA